rnacentral:rRNA from 1 species
UCGGUCCCUAUCCGUCGCGGGCGCAGGAAAUUUGAAGGGAGCUGUUCCUAGUACGAGAGGACCGGAAUUGACGCACCUCUGGUGUUCCAGUUGUUCUGUCAAGAGCAUCGCUGGGCAGCUAUGUGCGGAAGAGAUAAGCGCUGAAAGCAUCUAAGUGCCAAGCUCAUCCCAAGAUAAUGUUUCCCGGGGCAUAAGCCCCCUAAAGACCACGGGCAGACUACCCGUUUGAUAGGUUGGGAGUGUAAGCGUCGCGAGACGUUCAGCUGACCAAUACUAAUCGGUCGUGCGGCUUGAUUG